AGUGUCAAAUCUAGCAAAGUGCCUCCGCCAAGAGCUUCCAUGUUACUUCCAUGGGAUUUCUCAGAUUAGUCUGCAGUCCCAAGGGUUAAAAGUAAAAUUGAAAUGAAGGAACCAAAUGAUGCGAUCUUCUUUGAAGAGAAGAUUGAACCAUGAUGCGGACCGUAUAGCUAUUUUUGCUACUGGGGAUAAUUUUUGGUUUCUGAUGGUUCCUCCCUUUUUAUAAUUUAGUUUUAUAAAGGAAAAGUAUUGACUGAUAAAUUAUAGUUCCUUUUCGGAAAAUAGAAAUAUAUUAGGUUUUUAAUCUUUUGUAUUUCGAUUUAAGUUUAUGAGAGUAUAAGGUAGUACUCAUCGAUACUUCGAAAUCAUAUUAGUAGAUUUUUCAUCGAUUUCGAAACACAGAACACCAAAGAAACGACAAUACUAAAUGAUUGAGAAAAUGGUUGAGGUUGGUAACAGAUGGAUGUUGGCUGAUCAUCACUUGCACUGUUGGGAUGUCUGUCUCUUCAGCCUGAAAAUAUCGUAUUUUCAAUUGAGCCGAUUGAGACUACCAGAUCCUUACAACCCCAUUGUUUGCAACUAUCAAAUCCUAAGCCUUCUUCUAUCCUCCCAUAAGAGUAGCCUGGUACCAAAACAUAUUACUGAAAGUUUAUCCAAAUCGCACAAAAUUGAAAUUUGACUCAAAAGAGCAGUCCUGUUUACAAGCACAUCGGUAAAUCUUGUGUGCUGGGAAAGGUCCGGAUCUGCCUUUCUUGAUGCAAUCCUUUUAACUCUUUGAGACAUUGCCGAUAUGGUGCUUUCUUGCUGAUAUGAUUUAAUGGGUUAAUUGGGCUGUUCAAAAGCAA